rnacentral:lncRNA from 1 species
UAGGUCUUCUGAGAAACAUUUGUAUCAGCACAGUCUUACCAGGAAUAUUAUAAUCAGAUGGAAUGUUUUUAGGAAUGCAAGUAUGCUUAUAUGACAAAAACAGAAAUAAGGUUUAUUAUUGAGACCACAUCUUGGUAAAUUGUCCAGGCUGGCCUUGAAUUUACAAUCCUCCAGGGGCUGGGAUUAUGGAAUAAACACUAAGACCAGCAAUAUGAUGGGAUGGAUUUGAGAAUAUUUGUUGUAGCCACCCAUCUCAAAAUAAGACCAAAUUCCGGGGUUGUAAAUUGGUCUUUUCAACUGUAUCAAUAUAUCUGGGAAAUAAUAAUGUUUGCAGCAAUGCUUAUUAAAUUUGAAAGCAACAUCAGGCAUGGAGGCAUACAUUUAUUUAAUCUCAGCGACUCAGGAGGCUAAUGCAGAACUAUCACAAGUUUGAGUCCAGCUAUAGCAAUUUAGCCAGACCCUGUUUCAAAAAAUAAAAAGGCCUGCAGAUGUAGCUCAAUGUAGAAUGCCCCUGGAUUCAAUUCCCAGUACUGAAAAAAGGAAAAAAAAAUGUACAAUUCUAUCUUCUUAGAUCAUUAAAAUAGAGUAAGAGGACUAGGGAAGGAAGGAGGGGAAAGAAUGUAUGGAUAAAGGAAUGUACUAGGAAAUGGAGAAAAUUAUGUGCAUGUAUAAAUGUCACAAUAAACCCUACUAGUAUGUAUAAUUACAAUGCACUAAUAAAAACAUAUUUUAAAAUUCUGUCUUGAAGGGCUGGGGAUGUGGCUCAAGCGGUAGUGCGCUCGCCUGGAAUGCGUGCGGCCCGGGUUCAAUCCUGAGCACCACAUACAAACAAUGAUGUUGUGUCCGCCAAAAACUAAAAAAAUUCUCUAAAAAAAAAAUUCUAUCUUGAUAUUAUUUUAGAAGCUAUUUAUUGAUCUGUGAUUGUUUCCCCAAAUUCAUGUUAGAAGUCCUCAGUACUUCAGGCCUUAUUUGAAUCUUUUUUUUUUUUUCCUGGUCCCUGGGGAUUGAACUCAGGGGUACUAGACCACUGAGUCACAUCCCCAACCCUAUUUUGUAUUUUAUUUAGAGACAAUCUGAGUUGCCUAGCACCUGCCUCCUGAGCUGCUGGGGUUACAGCUAUGCGCCACCAUACCCAGCCCUUAUUUGAAUGUUUAUCAAAUUAAAAUGAAGCUAGUAGUAUAGCCCCUAAAAUACAGGAUGACUGGUAUGUCUAUAAAGAGGAAAUGUGGAAACAAGACUUAAUACAAAGAGAAUACCCUAUGAACAUGAAUAUGACCAUGUAUAAGCCAGAGAGAGAGAUCUGGAACAGAUUCUUCCCUCACAGGUUACAGAAGGAACAAACUGUGCCAAUCCCUUU